rnacentral:lncRNA from 1 species
UUUCAUAUCAAGUAUUUACCAAGAAUAAUGCUAUUGCAAUGCAUUUCUCUAAUAUAGUACUAAAGAAUUAUUAAUUAAGGCAUAUAAGUUCAAUGGAAACAUUACAGACUGCUUCUUGCCAAAUGACCUGAGGUAGUGCAAGGGGAAAAAAAACAAGGUUCAUUCCUUAGUGCCUAAAACACAAUAUCACAGAAGACCAAAACUGAAAAAUAGCAGAACAACACUUAUACAAAGACUCCAUAGAGCAAAAUAUAGACCUUGCACUUACACUACAAUUUACAAAUCAGCACAGGCCUCCUAAAAACUAAAAACCAGUUACAAGAACAAGCCAAAAUCAUCGCAUUAAACAUCAAAAAUAGCAGAACAACACUUAUACAAAGACUCCAUAGAGCAAAAUAUAGACCUUGCACUUACACUACAAUUUACAAAUCAAAAUAGGCCUCCUAAAAACUAAAAACCAGUUACAAGAACAAGCCAAAAUCAUCGCAUUAAACAAUUUUCGGGAACAAUGAAAGGAAAAUCUUCCGCCGACUCAACCCCAUCACCACGAGAUGAGUUUUAUAUCUUCACGACAUGAGGAGAACAUAUAUUGGAAUAUUGAAAUUAUUAAUUAAGCUAUUCCACUAUCAUGAAUAUUAAAUAUAGUUGCUGCAAAAAGAGUAAUGCUAAAAUAUCCUACUCCAUGACAAAACUCAGAAACAAUUCAAAAGUUGAACUCAAUAAUUAUUCAUCUUGGAUUCAAAGACAAAACCAUUAAGUACAUAUAAUGAUUUUGGAGUAAAACUCUCUGAAAC